UGACCACUUGCUCAGGCAAGUUAAGCCCAUACGGACAGGCGGGUCAGUUGCCG
rnacentral:sRNA from 1 species